GUUUAAGUAGUGUAGAUAGCACUUUUGGUUUUCAUCCUAAUAGAGGGGCUUAUGCCCCCUUAAAUA
rnacentral:tRNA from 1 species